rnacentral:lncRNA from 1 species
AGGCUAACGAGAGGCUACAAAGUAAAGCCUCCUCACCGCAAAGCGGGACACGGAGGGCCUCGGUCCACGCCGAGUGAAGAACCGAAGCCCGGAGCCCAGAGAACCACAGAGGCCUUGAAAAAACGGAAAAAAGGCCGGCUUCCUCCCGCGUGAGCUCCGUCGCCCCGCCGGACUCCACCCGUUUCCGCUCAGGGUAACCGCAAAACCCUUCCCGCGCGGGAACUCGGCGGAGGAGGAGUCUUGGGUCCCGCCCUUCUGGCGGCGGUGCGCGUCC